rnacentral:rRNA from 1 species
UGCGGUUUAAUCGGACUCAACGCCGGGAAACUCACCAGAUAAGACAGCUGAAUGAUAGUCGGGCUGAAGACUCUACUUGACUAGCUGAGAGGAGGUGCAUGGCCGUCGUCAGUUCGUACUGUGAAGCAUCCUGUUAAGUCAGGCAACGAGCGAGACCCACGCCAACAGUUGCCAGCUCGUCCUCCGGGAUGGUGGGGACACUGUUGGGACCGCCUCUGCUAAAGAGGAGGAAGGAAUGGGCAGCGGUAGGUCAGCAUGCCCCGAAUUAUCUGGGCUACACGCGGGCUACAAUGGGUGGGACAAUGGGUAUCGACACCGAAAGGUGAAGGCAAUCUCCUAAACCCAUCCGUAGUUCGGAUUGUGGGCUGCAACUCGCCCACAUGAAGCUGGAAUCUGUAGUAAUCGUGUCUCAAAAUGGCACGGUGAAUAUGUCCCUGCUCCUU